UACGUAGGGUGCAAGCGUUAAUCGGAAUUACUGGGCGUAAAGCGUGCGCAGGCGGUUAUGCAAGACAGAUGUGAAAUCCCCGGGCUCAACCUGGGAACUGCAUUUGUGACUGCAUGGUUAGAGUACGGUAGAGGGGGAUGGAAUUCCGCGUGUAGCAGUGAAAUGCGUAGAUAUGCGGAGGAACACCGAUGGCGAAGGCAAUCCCCUGGACCUGUACUGACGCUCAUGCACGAAAGCGUGGGGAGCAAACAGG
rnacentral:rRNA from 1 species